GACGAACGCUGGCGGCGUGCUUAACACAUGCAAGUCGAACGGAAAGGCACUGAUUGUGUGGGGUGCUCGAGGGGCGAACGGGUGAGUAACACGUGAGUAACCUGCCCUUGACUUUGGGAUAACUUCAGGAAACUGGGGCUAAUACCGGACAGGAGCUCCUGCUGCAUGGAGGGGGUUGGAAAGUUUCGGCGGGUGGGGAUGGACUCGCGGCUUAUCAGCUUGGUGGUGGGGUAGUGGCUUACCAAGGCUUUGACGGGUAGCCGGCCUGAGAGGGUGACCGGCCACAUGGGGCCUGAGAUACGGCCCAGUCUCCUACGGGAGGCAGCAGUGGCGAACAUUGCACAGUGGGCGCAAGCCUGAUGCAGCAACGCCGCGUGCGGGAUGCCGGCCUUCGGGUUGUAAACCGCUUUCGCCUGUGACGAAGCGUGAGUGACGGUAAUGGAUAAAGAAGCACCGGCUAACUACGUG
rnacentral:rRNA from 1 species